rnacentral:rRNA from 1 species
GACAGAGGGUGCAAGCGUUGUUCGGAAUUACUGGGCGUAAAGCGCACGUAGGCGGCCUUUUAAGUUGAAUGUGAAAUCCCUGGGCUCAACUCAGGACGUGCAUUCAAUACUGGAAGGCUUGAAUCCCGGAGAGGGUGGUAGAAUUCCCAGUGUAGAGGUGAAAUUCGUAGAUAUUGGGAGGAAUACCGGUGGCGAAGGCGACCACCUGGACGGAGAUUGACGCUGAGGUGCGAAAGCGUGGGUAGCAAACAGG